ensembl:snRNA U6 U6 spliceosomal RNA
GUGCUUGUUUCAGCAUCGUAAGUCCCCAAACUGGAGUGAUACAGAAAAGAUUAGCAUGGCCUCUAUACAAGGAUGACAUGCAAAUUCAUGAAGUUUUCAUGUUUUUA